rnacentral:rRNA from 1 species
CAGUAGCCACGGUAAUACGAAGGGUGCAAGCGUUAAUCGGAAUUACUGGGCGUAAAGCGUGCGUAGGUGGUGGUUUAAGUCCGUUGUGAAAGCCCUGGGCUCAACCUGGGAAUUGCAGUGGAUACUGGGUCACUAGAGUGUGGUAGAGGAUAGUGGAAUUUCCGGUGUAGCAGUGAAAUGCGUAGAGAUCGGAAGGAACAUCUGUGGCGAAGGCGACUAUCUGGGCCAACACUGACACUGAGGCACGAAAGCGUGGGGAGCAAACAGGAUUAGAUACCCGCGUAGUCCCUGUCUCUUAUAA